AUUGGGGAGUUCAGGUGAGGGAUCCACGAACGAGAUUGGGGAGUUCAGGUGAGGGAUCCACGAACGAGAUUGGGGAGUUCAGGUGAUGGAUCCACGAACGAGAUUGGGGAGUUCAGGUGAUGGAUCCACGAACGAGAUUGGGGAGUUCAGGUGAUGGAUCCACGAACGAGAUUGGGGAGUUCAGGUGAGGGAUCCACGAACGAGAUUGGGGAGUUCAGGUGAGGGAUCCACGAACGAGAUUGGGGAGUUCAGGUGAGGGAUCCACGAACGAGAUUGUGGAGUUCAGGUGAGGGAUCCACGAACGAGA